rnacentral:rRNA from 1 species
AACGUAGGAGGCGAGCGUUAUCCGGAUUCACUGGGCGUAAAGCGCGCGUAGGCGGUUGAUCAAGUCGGACGUGAAAGCCCCUGGCUCAACUGGGGGAGGCCGUUCGAUACUGAUCGGCUUGAGGGUGAGAGGGGAAAGUGGAAUUCCCGGUGUAGCGGUGGAAUGCGUAGAGAUCGGGAGGAACACCAGUGGCGAAGGCGGCUUUCUGGCUCACCCCUGACGCUGAUAGCGCGAAAGCGUGGGGAGCAAACGGG